GGGGAAUAUUGCACAAUGGGGGAAACCCUGAUGCAGCGACGCCGCGUGGAGGAAGAAGGUCUUCGGAUUGUAAACUCCUGUUGUUGAGGAAGAUAAUGACGGUACUCAACAAGGAAGUGACGGCUAACUACGUGCCAGCAGCCGCGGUAAAACGUAGGUCACAAGCGUUGUCCGGAAUUACUGGGUGUAAAGGGAGCGCAGGCGGGAAGACAAGUUGGAAGUGAAAUCUAUGGGCUCAACCCAUAAACUGCUUUCAAAACUGUUUUUCUUGAGUAGUGCAGAGGUAGGCGGAAUUCCCGGUGUAGCGGUGGAAUGCGUAGAUAUCGGGAGGAACACCAGUGGCGAAGGCGGCCUACUGGGCACCAACUGACGCUGAGGCUCGAAAGUGUGGGUAGCAAACAGGAUUAGAUACCCUGGUAGUCCACACCGUAAACGAUGAUUACUAGGUGUUGGAGGAUUGACCCCUUCAGUGCCGCAGUUAACACAAUAAGUAAUCCACCUGGGGAGUACGACCGCAAGGUUGAAACUCAAAGGAAUUGACGGGGGCCCGCACAAGCAGUGGAGUAUGUGGUUUAAUUCGACGCAACGCGAAGAACCUUACCAAGUCUUGACAUCCCUUGACAGACAUAGAAAUAUGUUUUCUCUUCGGAGCAAGGAGACAGGUGGUGCAUGGUUGUCGUCAGCUCGUGUCGUGAGAUGUUGGGUUAAGUCCCGCAACGAGCGCAACCCUUAUGGUCAGUUACUACGCAAGAGGACUCUGGCCAGACUGCCGUUGACAAAACGGAGGAAGGUGGGGAUGACGUCAAAUCAUCAUGCCCUUUAUGACUUGGGCUACACACGUACUACAAUGGCGUUAAACAAAGAGAAGCAAGACCGCGAGGUGGAGCAAAACUCAGAAACAACGUCCCAGUUCGGACUGCAGGCUGCAACUCGCCUGCACGAAGUCGGAAUUGCUAGUAAUCGUGGAUCAGCAUGCCACGGUGAAUACGUUCCCG
rnacentral:rRNA from 1 species